rnacentral:rRNA from 1 species
GUACGGGAGGCAGCAGUGGGGAAUAUUGCACAAUGGGCGAAAGCCUGAUGCAGCGACGCCGCGUGAGGGAUGACGGCCUUCGGGUUGUAAACCUCUUUUGACAGGGACGAAGCGCAAGUGACGGUACCUGUAGAAGAAGCACCGGCCAACUACGUGCCAGCAGCCGCGGUAAUACGUAGGGUGCGAGCGUUGUCCGGAAUUACUGGGCGUAAAGAGCUUGUAGGCGGUCUGUCACGUCGAUUGUGAAAACUUGCAGCUCAACUGCAAGCUUGCAGUCGAUACGGGCAGACUAGAGUACUUCAGGGGAGACUGGAAUUCCUGGUGUAGCGGUGAAAUGCGCAGAUAUCAGGAGGAACACCGGUGGCGAAGGCGGGUCUCUGGGAAGUAACUGACGCUGAGAAGCGAAAGCGUGGGUAGCGAACAGGAUUAGAUACCCCUGUAGUCCU